AAGAUGAUAGAGGUGCUGACAACAACUGACUCUCAGAAACUGCUAUACCAGCUGAAUGCCCUGUUGGAACAGGAGCUGAGAUGUCAGCCAAAGGUCUGCGGCUUGAGACUAAUUGAAUCUACACAUGAUAAUGGCCUCAGAAUGACUGCAAAGCUAAGGGACUUUGAACUAAAAGAUCUUAGUUUAACUCAGUUCUUUGGCUUCGACACGGAGACAUUUUCUCUUGCUGCGAAUUUACUGGACAGACUCCUGUCCAAAAUGAAGGUACAGCCCAAACACCUAGGGUGUGUUGGGCUGAGCUGCUUCUAUUUGGCUGUUAAAUCAAUAGAAGAGGAACGGAAUGUCCAAUUGACAACUGACUUGAUCCAAAUAAACCAAUAUAGAUUCAAGGUUUCAGACUUGAUGAGAAUGGAAAAGAUUGUAUUGGAGAAGGUGUGUUGGAAAGUCAAAGCUACUACUGCCUUUCAAUUUCUGCAACUCUACUAUUCACUCAUUCAAGAAAACUUACCAAUUAAAAGGAGGAAUAGCCUUAAUUUUGAAAGACUAGAAGCUCAACUUAAGGCAUGCCACUGCAGGAUCAUAUUUUCUAAAGCAAAGCCUUCUGUGUUGGCAUUAUCUAUCAUUGCACUGGAGAUCCAAACACAGAAGUGUGUAGAGUUAACAGAAGUAAUAGAAUGUCUUCAGACACAUUCCAAGAUAAAUGGCAGAGAUUUGACCUUCUGGCAAGAACUUCUAUCCAAGUGUUUAACUGAAUAUUCAUCAAACAAGUGUUCCAAACUAAAUGUUCAGAAGUUGAAAAGGAUUGUUUCUGGACAUACUGCAUGGCAAUUGAAGCAUGGUUACUACAGAAUAACCCACCUUCCAACAGUUUCUGAAAUGGUUCCAUAAUUGGAUUGUUAUAGCAACAAAAAGCUCUUCUCUGAAGCAUUUCUCCACAAUCCUGAGCUAUGGAUUUCAUAGUGUUAUAAUGGAUUUAAGCUGUGAAGCCUCAGAACAUCACAACUAGAUUAGCAUUGAUGUUCUCAGAUUUGGGAAAACUACCUAAUUAACAAGCUGUAGUGGAAUUCAAUUAAAUUUGAAUUCAUCUGUGAGGCAUACAAAUCAAAGCUAAGAGCAUAAAUGUGAAGUGUUAAUAACAAGCCUGGGAAGGUAAACUGUAAAUCUUCUCUUCUAACAUUGACCCAACCUUCUAUAUUGGGUCAGUAUAUUGUAUUUAGGUGUUAUUAAAAGUGGUAACCUAAUUAAAUUCUAA